UACGGGGGGAGCAAGCGUUGUUCGGAUUUACUGGGCGUAAAGGGCGCGUAGGCGGUCGAUCAAGUCGCGUGUGAAAGCCCCCGGCUCAACUGGGGAGGGUCACGCGAUACUGAUCGACUCGAAGGCAGGAGAGGGUAGUGGAAUUCCCGGUGUAGUGGUGAAAUGCGUAGAUAUCAGGAGGAACACCGGUGGCGAAGGCGGCUAUCUGGACAGAAACUGACGCUGAGGCGCGAAAGCUAGGGGAGCAAACAGG
rnacentral:rRNA from 1 species